GGAUCCCACGAGGCGCGGAAACGGGGGACGGUCUUGCACAGUCACAGACCCGCAACUCUCACCGCCACCGUCUUCCGGCAAUGAGCGUGUGCGUGUGCAGGAGGCGGCCCUUUUUCCAUUUGUGUUUUCCCCCUACCCCACCGACACAUGUGCACGCGCGCGUUGCUUACUCCCGUUUCUUCUAGCGUACUUGCACGCAGGUACGCCUUGCAGAGGUCUCUCCUCCUCAUGCUUCACACGUAUGGACCACACGCAUAGCUUGACCAGGAAAAUAACCGCGAGCGCAGGCGCGAGGGAGUCUGUGAGGUGUGUCUGAUAGAAGCACCCACAAAACAGCAGCAGUAGGCAUCCUUGAGACGAGCAUGCUUCAUCGCACCCGACUUUCACGAGGGCCCGCCGUCACCGCUGGCGCAUCUAUCUCCGUUUGCUUCAAGGGCCUGGGAACGUACGACUACCCUUCCUCUUUCACAUGGCCACCAUUGCUGGAGGAUGACGCUGAUGAGCGAGGGCAUGGUGAUUCACGCCCUUCAGCGGCGCCUUCAGAGCCUCCGCGAGGCACUGCUGGCAGCGCUGAGUACCGUAGCCAUCGUCGCUCGCCGUUCUCUGUGCUGCGCAGCCGGCAGUGUCGUGUGGGCCGGUGCGCUUCGGGAGUGUUGCCUGCCUCACACAACACCGGGGCGGCACCCUUCGCCGGCGGCGGCGGUCACGGGCUGGUCGCGUGCGGGCACCGCCUGUGCUGCUGCAGCGCACUCUUCUACCCAGCGCUGCCCCCCUACUCGUCCUCGUCCUCUGCGCCGCCCUCGACGUCUACCCCGCCGUCGUCUGCGGAGGAGGGCAUGUGGCGUGUGCGGGACGACUUUCUGUGGGCGCUGAAGCUCGCAGACGUUGAGCGACUGCUGCGCGCCACCAUCACUGAGGAGCUGUAUGGACGGCUGUUGGGUGUCACGGGCACGAAGGCGACGGUUGUUCUGACGUGCAACGACCUCCUGACGGCGGCACAAGAAUAUGCGGAGGCCUCCAGUCCAGAGGCGGCUUUGGCCGCGCCGGAUGCGUCACUUCCCGCUGCGAUUCCAUACGUGGCGCGCCUGCUGCUGAAUGCAGAUGAGGACAACCGUAUCAAGUGGCUGCAGGAGGAGUCCACCGCGAUGGAGCACCGCGACUACUACGCACGUGCGCCGUCGCUGCGUGCUUUGUUUGUCAUGUGGUCGGCACAGCAGCAACAGCAGCGCGUGCGCGCGGCUGCCCUGAGCGGUGGCUGUGGCGGGAUUGCCGCAAGUGAUUUGUCCCAUGGUGACACUACCGGCGCAGAUCGGCGGCUCGCCACGUCGUCCACGGCGCGGACGCCGAGGUUUCUUAUCCCUCCUCCGACCAUGGAGGACAUCCAGCUCAUCCUCAUGCGCAUGGAGGAGCGACAUGUCGAGGUGACGAUGACCGACAUUUCGGCUAUCGCUGCUAUCGGUGCCACUUCGGCUGGCACAGGAACGUCGAUCCCAUCUGACGAGUUUUGGGGAGCGAUUGUGCGCCAUCUGCAGCCUCUAAAGCUCUCUCAGGCGCUGAAGGCCUACGCAUCGACGCCGUUUCCGCCCGUGAACGACGGCGCCGCGUCGUGCGAUGAGGCGCUCGUCUUGCGACAUGUGCUUAUUCUUUCUUUGCUACUACGCUACACUUCGGCCGCGAAUGCAGAGGUGCCGCCCGCGUCCACGGCACCGCCGCCGUCAGCGUGGACCUCGUCCUCCACCGCUCCUUCCACCCCAGACCCUGCCAACUCAAAACUACUGGUGCCCAUGGCCGCAUUCGAAGCGGCAAGUGCGGUAAUUCAGCUGCGCAGGCGCCUCACGACGUCAUGCGAGGGCGAUGACGCCGCAAUUCGUGGAUCGGUCCACACACCCACGCCUCCUUCCGCCGUCUACGAAGCCCUUCUCACGUUGUGCGACGAGGUGCUGAAGCGCGUGUACGGGCUGGCCGAGCGGUCGCAGCUUUCGGCGACGAGCCCGCAUCUACCGGCGUUGACGACGUGGCUUCUGCGAGAGAUGGUGACGAGUGCGGCGUGCGAGUUGCACUUCAAGCGCCUUGUGGACCGAAGCAUCACGGAGGCGCUGAUCGCACUGGAGAAGAGCGGUCUCGUGAACCGGUCCUCGAUGAACCUCAAGGUGGUGGUGCGUCAGGUGUUGCCGUUGGUGGAGAGCUGUGGCAGUGAGGACCUGUACACAUCGAUGCUGAACGACGUCGUGUCCGCUCUUGAGGAGAAGGCCCGGCGGGACCGGCACGCUUUCACUCAGGAGGACAUGCUCUAUUUGGCAGAGCUGGGGACCAAGUUGUUCGUCAGCGGCUCUGCUGACAGCACGGCUGGCAGCUACGGCCUCUUCGACCAGACGGCACGAGGUCAGAUGGAGGAGCUGCACGUGAUGGACGGGAGCCCGUGGGCUCUGUGCGUCUCGACGUACCGCUCCCUGAAAGAGAUGAUGCAGGGUAUUAUCCGCGACCAGCGGCGACUGAAGCAGCAGGUGCAGGAGCAGCUCCGGCAGCUUUCUAGUUCCAGCACCCUCUCUGCCGUGAUGACGGGAAGUACCGAGGCGCAAGGCCGCCAUCACGCUCGGCUGGAUGGCAACGGUGCUCCUCUCUCCUCCCCCUCCUCGCCUCCAGACUCUGAGGCCAGCUCUGUCGCCCGCGGCGAUGCUGCUGUCGACCUCGGUGCUGCCAGUGCUGCCUCUGAUGCAGCAGGCGAGGACGGCUUCACUGGAGCAAAGGCCGCUGUUCCUUGUCGUGGCGCCUCCGCCUCAGCUCCAGCUCCAGCUCCAGCUGGGCCGCCGCGGAUCUCUGUGUCACCGAUGCUGCGGCAGCGCUUCCUCAUACUUAUUGAAGAGCUGGUCAAGGCGCAGGUGGCUGAGAGUUCCAACGACUCGGAGCGGCCGAUUGUGGUGAGCACUGAGCUCUUCGCCUUCGUGACGCGGCAUGUGCCGGUGCCGAACAUACAAGACGAAUACCGCCGCAAGAUUUUUCUGCUGGUGAACGUGGCCGAGGCCCCAGAGACAACACGCCGCCGGCUUGCUGAGCGCAGGGAGAAGCGGCGGGCCUCUGCAGAUGGCGAGGGCUUUGGGAGACGCCGGCGUCGUCACGCCAGAGGCGACACCAGCACCAGCUGCGCAGCCGAGGAGGAGGUGGAGGCAGACGGUGAGGACGCGCAUGCGGGGCCUGGCUCGAAGAAGGCAGGCGCGGGCAACGACCCGCACGGUGGUGCGAACGAUAUACCCGCGGAGCUGCGCUUUCUCGUCAGCUCCCUCCCGCUCACGCUGUCGCCGUGGGCGAGCGUCAUGAUCUUGCGCGAGGUGCUAGCCGAGUCUGCCGGCCGAAACCCUCGGUACACUUAUGUGCUCAACGCGGCCAUCGACCUACAGUUGCCGAUGUCUACCACGCGGUCCCGCAUCGCGACGACGCUGAACAUGUGGCGCUUUCUCAACACACAAGCGCACAAGCUGAGCCUGAAGGAGAGCGUCAUGAUGAAGCAGCGGUGCGCGUGGAACUUGCCCAUGUCUUAUGUGCUCUCCUCGUACUGGUCCCUCCUUACAUGGCUGUUUCUCGCGAGCAUCAUUAUGCUUAACGUGGUCGGGAUCGACUUUGAGUCGCAGCUUGUCGCGAACUCGCUCUUCAGGAUGUUUGCACCGUGGGAGGAGAUUUGCGUGCCGCAGACCGCCGCGGAAGACGGGGACACGUGGAGCACGCAGGCGGCAGCUGACUUGGCGUCAGACUACUUCGAGCAGGCCGAGAUCGCCGAUCGGCGUCGCGAGGAGCAUCGGCUCAGCAGCACCGACGUGUUCCUCUCCUCGGCUUCCUACUUGAUCCUCGGCUACGACGACCAACGGCGGCCGAUGACGGUCAUCCCGAUCGGCAGUGACUGCACCGCACCAGCUGAGGAGCGAAUCGCUGAGGAGUACGCUGCGGCAACGGCGGUGCUGCGCGAGCUAUCGCUGCACGCUCCGUUCCCCUUCUUCGUCGACAUCGAGCGGCCGCUGCCGAUGGAGUACGUCGAGAAGCGCAUCGCGGAGCGCAUUCGGCGUGUGUCCUUCAAUAACACGUGGUUCCUGCCGCGCAUGAUCAUUCGCACCUUCCCGCUCGGCCGCCAGUACACGGAGCACAAGCUUGUGCUGCACACCUGCACGCAAGCGAACCUCACGCGGCGCCGAAUCACAUUCUUGCUGUACAUGCACGACGGCGUCCCUGUCACCCCGCAGUUCAUUCAGGAGCUAAGCGACAGCUUUCUCUCACGGCACGCGAACCUGGUGCUGGUGGUGCACGAGUCCAGCCUUCUCAAGGGCGGCACUACACCUGAAGCUCUCGUCAAGGUCGGUCUGUCAAAUACCGUUCGCGGCCCUUCAGCAACCAUCGCGUCUGCGGCGGCUGAGAUGAUAGACGCCGUGCUGCCUAGUGAUCUCAAGGACUCCCCUUCACCUUCUGCAGCCGCUUCAGCGGCGCACCACAUGCGUGUGCUGCCGUACUGCCGGCAGUACUACUCCGGCAGCGGCAGCGUCAUUGCUGGUCUUCAGCGCAUGGCAGACGGAGAGCCGACGGAGGGCGGCGGCGGCACAGCAGAAAAGGGCUGGUGGGUGAUUACGCUGAGAUCGGUGCGUCGGCUGUGGGAACGGUUGCAGGCGGGAUCGGGCGCUGCCUCCUCCGCCUCCACUGCAGCAGCGUCGUCGGCCCGCCUGCCGCUCUUUGCAUCGACUUUCAGCAGCCGCCGUACCUCUCUCCACCGCAGCCGAGAGCGGCAGUGCAAGGAGGCUGAGGAGGUGGCUGCUGCCAACAAGCAGAGGCAGAGCAGCGAUGGCCGCAUGCCCGCAGCUGCGCCGUGGGUGAACUGGUGGUGGCACACGCUCUCCGGCGUGACCUCGGCGACAAUUCGGAUGGUGCGCGUUGACUGCAUCGGGGUGUGGGGGGAGGAGGCGGAGCGGGACGACGAGGCUGCACGGAAAAGUGGCACCACGAUUGUCACCAAUGAGCCGGCACCACAUGUGCGGGCGGCCGCCGAUCAAACAGCAACAGACACGGUAGCGACAAGAGCCGCGACCGAUACUGCGGAGGCGAAGGCAGGCAAAGGCGGCGUGUCUGUUUCUUUCACUGCUCUGCGCCGCCUCAUGUCGGAGGUGUGAGCCCCCGUGUCUAUUAGCAGAGCUAGGGCCAGCAGCAACACCGCUGAUGGCAGCACCACGCCUCCCGCUGCGAGCGACACGGCGCGGACGCACUUCGCCUCCUCGGAGCGAUUCCCCGACGCACAUGUGAUUCCUCUAGCGUGGCGAUGGCGCGUUCCGUGCCCACGCCUUGGAAGUGGCGGACAGCGCAUCGCGCAGCAGCACUGACUCAGGCUGCCCACCUGUUGCAGGUCCCACCGCUCCAGCGGCAGCACUAGGGCAGACCUUCGCUUUCAAUUCGUCGAACAGCGGCAGCACCUCGCUACUCUUCUUGUCACAGCCUGUGCCAGCCUUCCGGCCUUCUCCGCCGAUAACCUCGACCUCCUCGACACCGCCGUGCUCGUAAUGGGCUGCGAUGCCGCUGCUGCAGCGGCCUCUCUACUCCGACCUUGAUUGUUCCGUAAGCGCACUCCCAUGAGGAGAGUGAAGGCCAAAAGACGGGCGAGAUGCUGGCGCCGCUGUGCCGCGCCCCUCGCGCCUUUUCGUGAGUCGCAUUGGGGGCGGAGAAGGGCGGCGACGGUGCAAUGAUGUGCGCGUGCAUGUUCAGGUCUGUGUCUGUCUGUCUGUCUGUCUGUGUGUGUGUGUGUGUGCGGAGGAAAUAGAGUGCGAGAGCGACGCAGCGAAGGGCCAGUGACGUGGCGUCUCGCGUCUUUUGCGGUGGGCGAAUACGCGUGAGAGAGGGCGCGCGGGGCACUUGCGUCUCGACGUCACGCUUUCGGGUUUCUUUGCGAUGCUGCAGACGGAAUGAGUGCGCGUGCCAGCGACAAUCACACAAGGCCGAUAUAGAAUGGAAAAUCACCGAUGCGUGGAGACGCAGGGUGGGCGAGCAAGAGAGCCGGAGUCAAGUGUGCGAGUAUGUAUGCAUGUGACGAUGCGCGUGCGCAAGACAGUGGCAUGUAUGGAUUCCGACAUGUACCCACAUAGGCCGGCGCACCGUGCACCUCCGCUUUCUUCUCCUCUUGCUGCCUCAUCGUCAUCCAAGUGAUGGCAGCACCACCCUGACGCGGAGCACACACACACACAUAUGCAUGUAUAUAUAUAUAUAUAUAUAGGUACCAAAGAAGUGAGAGACGAGAGGCAAUCAGCUGUUCGAGCACACAUCUCCGUAAAGGGGCAAACACCAAACCGUCGUCCCCCCUCUCAUCCUCUCCCCCUUCUUCUCCUCCUCUGGAUUGGAUUCACGUCUGGCAUACACUCGCACUUCUCUCUUGCUCUAUCUCUCUAUCGAUGUUUCACUCUUCGCAUCGCGCGUGCUCAUCGUACCUGCCCUUCCCUUUUUGGUUGUCGCUGCUGCGCACGUUUCCGCCCCCCUCGGUGAUGUUGGUGUCGAUUCGCCCUGCGCAUACAUCUACACGCAAACACGUACACGCACAUCCACCAUACGCGCGGACCGGUGCGCACGCUCAG
rnacentral:misc_RNA from 1 species